rnacentral:rRNA from 1 species
CGUACGAACGCUUUGUGUCUUAAUUGAGAUGACGAGCUUGCUCUGAUUUGAUUUUUUGUAUUUCAAAGAGUGGCGAACGGGUGAGUAACACGUGGGUAACCUACCUCUUAGCAGGGGAUAACAUUUGGAAACAAGUGCUAAUACCGUAUAACAUCAACAACCGCAUGGUUGUUGAUUGAAAGAUGGUUCUGCUAUCACUAAGAGAUGGACCCGCGGUGCAUUAGCUAGUUGGUAAGGUAAUGGCUUACCAAGGCAAUGAUGCAUAGCCGAGUUGAGAGACUGAUCGGCCACAAUGGGACUGAGACACGGCCCAUACUCCUACGGGAGGCAGCAGUAGGGAAUCUUCCACAAUGGGCGCAAGCCUGAUGGAGCAGCGCCGCGUGUGUGAUGAAGGGUUUCGGCUCGUAAAACACUGUUAUAAGAGAAGAACGGCACUGAGAGUAACUGUUCAGUGUGUGACGGUAUCUUACCAGAAAGGAACGGCUAAAUACGUG